UUCCCAGCGGGUGCUCAGUAAAUGCUGGUAGUAAUUGGUCGGGAGCCAUGUAAGGAGAGCCAGGGAGGGAAAACAUCUGGGCUUUCGGAAGAGCCGUGCACAGCUUCGUCUAGACUGCUGCUUUGGGCAGGCCGUUCCCACCGACCCGGCUUCCCUACCUCGGCCGAGUCCCCCAGACCCUCCCUGGGGAAGACCGGCCACCCGCGCCGGCAACCGAAGGACUUCCUGAGACCUAGGAGAGAAGCAACAUGGCCCAGCAGGCCUCAGUAGCAUCUCCUUCCCGGCAAAUCUCAGAGGCUUGUAAGGCCUCCGCCUACAAAGGGGCCUGAGGCCUCGGCCUGCGUUCAGUGCGGGAACCUCCUGCACAGCGUCUUACCACGGGACCCCAGGAGUGGAGACCUGGUGGUUUUGCCUUAUGCAGCAGCUGUUCCCUUUUCCGGCUCCAAGUUCAGCUGGGGCUGGUGGGCGCCCUGCUCCUGCCUCCUUCACUCAGAGAAGUACCAUCCAGAACAUCAUCAGACUCCAUAGCAGAGGAAAGGCCACUGGAAUCAGAUGGGCCUGACUUUACAUCUUGACUUUUCUGCUUAAAGCAAGGGGCCUGCCUGACCUGCCCGGUGCAUAGCUAUUGCUCAGAGAGUAUCAACUUCCUGUUGUCCAACUUCUCCAUCCGUUGUGUGUCCAAAUUGGAUGUUCAAGGCUUGGCGCAAAUGCCUGCCUCUCCACGGGGACUUCUCAACCCACCUCAUUGCUCACCGCUUCUCCAUCAUCCUCGCGCAGAGGGAAGCACAUACUGGGGGCCGUCGUCUGUGCCCCUUCAGUGUCCAGCAAAGCCCCAAGCGCUUAGUAGGCGCUCUGCUCAGUACUCUCGAUGUGACUUGGGGCACUUUACUGUGCCAGGCGCAUAGUGCCUGCUGGAUGCUGGGGGCUCCCGCGAGGGGGCCAGGGCAGACCCCAUCCCCACCGUCACGCGCUUACAUUUGGGUUCUUGCCAAGCGACAAGGUAGAAGGUAGGCUCCAUUUUCAGCCCUGAGCAUAACACCAGGCUUGAACUCAGGACCUUGAGAUCGAGACCUGAGCUGAGAUCAAGAGUGGGAUGCUUAACCGACUGAGCCACCCAGGUGCCCCAGCCACGAACGAGUUUUUAAAAACAUGUCUCAUGAGAUAUUUGGGAUAUACUUACACUCCAAAAAAUUAUUUGCUGUUUCUCUGAAAUUCAAACAUCAUGGAAUAUCCUCAUAUCCUUCUAUUUUAUCUGGCGGUGUCUGACCUUGGUUGUGUUCGUUUUUUUCCCCCUGAAAAUAAAGGCAAUGAUAAUCACCGUCUGGAUUUC